GAGAGAGAGAGAGAGAGAGAGAUCGCAUAUUACGAUGUAGAUGCAUGGAAGUAAACCCAUAACCUUACAAACUCAUGCUGGCUGCUGAACAUGUAUGUAUACUGGCUUAUCAUAGGAUCAAUCACGUCUUUAAGCCCCAAUUCCAAAGCUCUGAUUGUCCAAAUGCUGAACCAGACAUUAAAAUCACAUCCAACUCCCACUCAAACCAACAACCGCAUGGUCUAAUAAACGGCCAUAGAAAUACGAUGGAGAACUCCCAGCUAACUCCCAUUUAUUCAAUGCAAGCUCAUCAUAUGAUCAAAUAUCCUUGAGACUACCAUACAAAAACACUGUACAAUUUUCACCCUACCCACAAAAACUCAUAUCUAACAGAUCAAAGAUAUUGUCUUAAAGUCUUAUUUCCUUGGCCACUACAUUGACAUCUUCCAGACUGGCUUUAAAAUUCUGAAAGAUUUCCAGUUCUUUCUACUGAUCCAUGAUAACAUACAAUUAGAUCAAAAUUGUUCACUUCAGAAAAACCUCCUCCUGAAAUUCCUGGUAGUUGCUUGAUACGAUCGCAUUAGCAGUCCAACACCUAUUCCAAUCCCAAGGCACAUCCCAAGGCCAAUUCCAACACCAACUCUAACACCAGCAUUAAACCAUGAGAGUUGGCCAUCCUCACCAUAAUACAGGUCUUCUGAGUAGUAUCUGCUUGCAAUUUUCCCAUCUGAUUCACACUCGUCGCCAUCUGAUUCAGCAAUCUGAACUUUACGAAGGCGAACCGACCCAUUGCUGCCACCAUCAUUCUGCACCUUCUCCGUCUCCAUCUCGUCAUCCUCAGGAAUCACAUCAAGCAUUCCAUGCCUCGACCCUUUCCUUCUAGGACUGACCAAAAUUGUCUUAGUCAAUAUGACCGGCACACCCCCACAACACCCGGCGAUAUAAACUUCGACGGCAGGCGCCGAUACCCCCAUCUUCGGCUGGAAGAACAACGAGUUUCCUUCCCCAACCGAAGCCGCCAUGUAACACUCCAUGCUCCAUCCUGUCUUCGAAUCAUUUUCCAGUCCCACGCUACCAUUCCCCCACGCCGAUUCUAUUCUCUCCAGGGACCCACAUAAAAAUAAAUCUUUGUUCUCCAACACUUCAAAUUCCACGGCGCCGGUGACCCGCACGCUGUCUGUACUGACGUAGGUGACCUCAGAAGACUCCUUAUUGAGACGGUCGCGGCGAAGGGACACGGAAGCCGAAUCCACGCCGGGAAUUGUGGAGCCAUUGAUUUCGAGGGGCGUGCUGAUUUCGCGGCGAAGAUGGCGAAGAGUGAGAUGGUCCGGGACGCUGUCGAUCACGCACGGCGUGAUUCUGACGUAGAACAAUCUGAUUUCGAGCCACGAAGAAUUGGUUAUGAGAUUAUAAGACUCAGAUUCCUGGUCUUGGUGAUUCAUUGAAUCCUAUAAUUCUACAAAUAGGUAUCGCGGGAGCUUAUAGAUUUUUAGAAUUAGAAGCAUCAAAAUGACCUAUCUCAUAAAAUUGGAAUUCGAAUUCUGGGAAUCAUUAAUGGAAUUUGAGAUUGAAACAAUGAUUAUCACAAAAUAAAUAGAAAUUGCCAAGAGGAUUCUCGGUUGAUGUGAAAGAUUAGGGUUUUUGAUUUGUAAUUUGAGAGGCUUUCAUUGAAGAUUGGUGGUGGCAGAGAUUUAGUGAAGUUGAACGGUUUAAGAAUGGAAAGCACAGACCUGGUCAACGGAGUUGCAGGAGAAAAAAAUAGCAUCUUCUUAACUAAUAACGGUGAUGUAACGCGAAAUCAUCCCAGAGGAACCCUUCGUCUUCUGUGCGCUUCUCUCACAAUAAUCUAAAUCGAAUGCUCCUUCCAAUCUUCAAUGAAAG
rnacentral:misc_RNA from 1 species